GAAAGGAUGAGGCAGCUGAAACUUUUGUCCAUUAUCCUGGUUUUUGGACUUUUGUUUGCGACUUGUUCUGAAGGACAAGGCAUAUAUCCUGGAAAUUGUCCACCAGUAUGUAGGAAUUAUUGUCCGUUUGGCAGAGUGUAUGUCGAUGGAUGUCCAACUUGCACAUGUAUAAUACCCGGAAAUAAUGACCUACCAGAUUGGAUACGAUAGAACUUUGUACUGAAAGCAAAUAAAGAAUAUCAUGCUC